rnacentral:misc_RNA from 1 species
AACGCACAUUGCGCCCUUUGGUAUUCCGAGGGGCAUGCCUGUUCGAGCGUCAUUUCAACCCUCAAGCUCUGCUUGGUAUUGGGCCUCGUCGUCUGCGGCGGGCCUUAAAAUCAGUGGCGGUGCCGCCUUGGCUCUAAGCGUAGUAGCAAUCUCUCGCUCUGGAGACCUGGCAGUUGCUGGCCAGAUAACCCCCGAAUUUUUUUUUUUCUAGUGGUUGACCUCGGAUCAGGUAGGGAUACCCGCUGAACUUAA